rnacentral:rRNA from 1 species
UACGAGGGGGGCAAGCGUUGUUCGGAAUUAUUGGGCGUAAAGAGCUCGUAGGCGGUUUGUCGCGUCUGCUGUGAAAACUGGAGGCUCAACCUCCAGCCUGCAGUGGGUACGGGCAGACUAGAGUGCGGUAGGGGAGAUUGGAAUUCCUGGUGUAGCGGUGGAAUGCGCAGAUAUCAGGAGGAACACCGAUGGCGAAGGCAGAUUUCUGGGCCGUAACUGACGCUGAGGGGCGAAAGCAUGGGGAGCGAACAGG